rnacentral:rRNA from 1 species
AGUGAUCGCUGGCGGCGUGCUUAACACAUGCAAGUCGAGCGAAUUUCUGCAGCACAUCGCAGAAGUUAGCGGCAGACGGGUGAGUAAUAUUUGGGCAAUCCACCCUCGAGAGGGAACUAACCGGCCGAAAGGCUGGCUAAUGUCCCAUAAGACCACGGAACGGCAUCGUUUCGAGGUCAAAGCUCCGCAAGGGGCACUUGAGGACGAGCCCGAAUCCUAUCAGCUAGUUGGUGAGGUAACGGCUCACCAAGGCUUCGACGGGUAGCCGGCCUGAAAG